CCUACGGGUGGCAGCAGUGGGGAAUAUUGGACAAUGGGGGAAACCCUGAUGCAGCGACGCCGCGUGAGUGAAGAAGUAUUUCGUUACGUAAAGCUCUAUCAGCAGGGAAGAAAAUGACGGUACCUGAGUAAGAAGCCCCGGCUAACUACGUGCCAGCAGCCGCGGUAAUACGUAGGGUGCGAGCGUUAUCCGGAUUUACUGGGUGUAAAGGGUGCGUAGGCGACAGGGCAAGUCUGGAGUGAAAUGCGGGGGCUCAACCCCCUGAAGGCUGUGGAAACUGGACGGCUGGAGUGCUGGAGAGGUAAGUGGAAUGCCUGGUGUAGCGGUGAAAUGCGUAGAUAUUAGGAGGAACACCAGUGGCGAAGGCGGCUUACUGGAGUGUAACUGACGUUGAGGCUCGAAAGCGUGGGGAGCGAACAGGAUUAGAUACCCCAGUAGUC
rnacentral:rRNA from 1 species